rnacentral:rRNA from 1 species
GUGGGGAAUAUUGCGCAAUGGGGGAAACCCUGACGCAGCGACGCCGUGUGAGGGAAGAAGGCUUUCGGGUCGUAAACCUCUGUCAGAAAGGAAGAACCUCCCAAGUCCGAAUAGGGCUUGGGACUGACGGUACUUUCAAAGGAAGCACCGGCUAACUCCGUGCCAGCAGCCGCGGUAAUACGGAGGGUGCAAGCGUUAAUCGGAAUCACUGGGCGUAAAGCGCGCGUAGGCCGCUUUGUAAGUCGGACGUGAAAGCCCUCGGCUCAACCGGGGAACUGCGUUCGAUACUGCGAGGCUUGAGUCCUGGAGAGGGUGGCGGAAGUCCGGGUGUAGGAGUGAAAUCCGUAGAUAUCCGGAGGAACACCGGUGGCGAAGGCGGCCACCUGGACAGGUACUGACGCUGAGGCGCGAAAGCGUGGGGAGCAAACAGGAUUAGAAACCCGUGUAGUCC